AGAAGAGUUUCAGUCUUCACUUGCUUGCUUUUGCUGUUUUUGUUAGCCCUGACAGGACAAAGACCUUCAUAGUGCCUUCUACAAGCAAAUGGAAACCAGGCUUCCAUCCACAAAUAAGAAUUGGUGACCAUGAAGAAAUUUAGGAGUGGACCUGCAGUCUUCCUAAUGAUGAAUGAUCCAGGGUUAUACACAAACCUAUGCUAAUCAUCCUGUCAGGCCUUAAUCCCACAUUAAGAUCCUACAUGAGUCCAGAGGAAGACCCAGGACUCAUGACAAUGACUCCCAGAAGUCCAACUGGAGGGCUAGAGCCAAAAAGAAGGACUCUACCCAGUCUUUUUUGUGGAUCCUCGCUGAUAAGGCCCAGAGGUAAGUGGUAGAGGCUACAAAGUGCAUGCUAGCAGAG
rnacentral:lncRNA from 1 species